UUAUAGUGCCAACACAAAACCGAAGGGUAUGAGUUGCACAUGGGUGGAUACACAGAAAACUGAGGAGCUGAAAUGUUGAGUGCUGGAGGCAACCUAGCGGCGGACGGGUGAGUAACGCGUGAGCAAUCUGCCUCAUACAGGGGGAUAACAGGUGGAAACACUUGCUAAUACCGCAUAAGACCACAGCGCUGCAUGGCGCAGGGGUCAAAGGAGUAAGAUCCGGUAUGAGAUGAGCUCGCGUCCCAUUAGCUAGUUGGCGGGGUAACGGCCCACCAAGGCGACGAUGGGUAGCCGACCUGAGAGGGUGAUCGGCCACACUGGGACUGAGACACGGCCCAGACUCCUACGGGAGGCAGCAGUGGGGAAUAUUGCGCAAUGGGGGGAACCCUGACGCAGCAACGCCGCGUGAGUGAAGAAGGUCUUCGGAUCGUAAAACUCUGUCAUAGGGGAAGAAGGAGAUGACGGUACCCUAUGAGGAAGCCCCGGCUAACUACGUG
rnacentral:rRNA from 1 species